rnacentral:rRNA from 1 species
AGCAGCCGCGGUAAUUCCAGCUCCAAUAGCGUAUAUUAAAGUUGUUGCAGUUAAAAAGCUCGUAGUUGAAUUUCGGGAUUUGUCAGUUGGUCGGGCUUCACUGUCCGUAUUGACUUGAUGGAUUCUUACCUUCUGAAUAACCAGCAUGCUAUUAAGUUAGUGCGUUGGGGAAGCAGAUCUAUUACCUUGAAAAAAAUUUAGAGUGCUUAAAGCGAGCUAGUGCUUGAAUAGAUUAGCAUGGAAUAAUAAAAUAGGACGGCAUGGUUCUAUUUUGUUGGUUUCUAGGAUCACCGUAAUGAUUAAUAGGGAUAGUUGGGGGCAUUAGUAUUCAAUUGUCAGAGGUGAAAUUCUUGGAUUUAUUGAAGACUAACUUCUGCGAAAGCAUUUGCCAAGGAUGUUUUCAUUAAUCAAGAACGAAAGUUAGGGGAUCGAAGACGAUCAGAUACCGUCGUAGUCUUAACCAUAAACUAUGCCGACUAGGAAUCGGACGAUGUUAAUUUUAUAAUGACUCGUUCGGCAC